GAAUAUUGGACAAUGGAGGCAACUCUGAUCCAGCCAUGCCGCGUGAAGGAAUAAGGCCCUAUGGGUUGUAAACUUCUUUUAGACGGGACAAAACCCCUUUACGUGUAAAGGGUUGAUGGUACUGUCAGAAUAAGCAUCGGCUAACUUCGUGCCAGCAGCCGCGGUAAUACGAAGGAUGCAAGCGUUAUCCGGAAUUAUUGGGUUUAAAGGGUGCGUAGGCGGACUAAUAAGUCAGUGGUGAAAGCCUGCAGCUUAACUGCAGAAUUGCCAUUGAUACUGUUAGUCUUGGAUACAGUUGAGGUAGGCGGAAUGUGUCAUGUGGCGGUGAAAUGCUUAGAUAUGACACAGAACACCGAUUGCGAAGGCAGCUUGCUAAGCUGUAACUGACGCUGAGGCACGAAAGCGUGGGGAGCAAAC
rnacentral:rRNA from 1 species